rnacentral:lncRNA from 1 species
AGGUAUUUGAUGAAGGCAUGUCUUGAUGCAAAAUCUGGCUAUAAGUUGACUGAAACUGUAGCAUAUUUAAAUAAUUUUAAAAGUUUCAGACGUAGUAAAUGGAUUACAAAUUUGGAAUGUAUGAUUUCUGCAUUUUUUCAAGUUUCUGGAAGGUACAUUUUUUAUUUUUAUAUAUUUAGUAAAAGUAAUAGAAAAUUGAAAAAUUGCUAACAUGUUUAAGCAAAAUUGAGGAUUGCUACUUUUCUAUUAACCAAAAAUUGAAUUCUGGAAUGUCCCAAGAAGAUUCUUGGAACUCGACUACUGUUAAACUUGUCAAAGCAUCAGAAGUAAUUUAAAUAUUUAAUUUUGUUUUGUUAUUAAUAUUAUUUUUCUUUUAUAUUUUUAAUAUAAAUAAAAAAAAUUAUCUUUUUACAAAUUAUCAAAACGUCUCAAAAAUGUACCUACAUAAUUGUUUUUUGUUUUAGGCACAUUGUAGAGCAUUUGUAAUAAAAAGUUUUGUUACAACAAUUAAGACAGCUAAAUUUUCAACAGAAUUGAUGAAAGUGCUUACAGACCUCUGUGAAUUGAUUUGUGCAUAUUGGAUUUUAAAUAAACUAGGAGAUUUCCUUCAAGUAAAAUUGUAUAUUUUAUUUUUAAUUUGUUUUGUUUAUUGACAUUUGUUACUUAUCUACUUUUUCAGUUUUCCAAUCUAAAAUCAAAAGAUGUUCCUUCGAUACAGUCUUUGUUAGAAGAUUGCUUAAACCGUAUUCGACCUAAUGCAGUUAGUCUGGUGGAUAGUUUUGAUAUUCGAGAUGAAAUAUUAGGCUCUGCUUUGGGAGUUUACGAUGGAAAUGUUUAUGAACGUCUAAUAGAAGAUGCCAAUAAAAGCCCAUUGAAUCAAAAACCUGUUAAUGAAUCAUUUCACAAGUAUUUAAAAGAGUAUUUAAAAUCCAAUUUAUAAGCAAUCCAACCAAAUUUAAUCAUUGUAUUUACUAUUUACUGAGAUAGGUCCUAAUCGGUAUUUGUCAACAAUUUCAU